rnacentral:lncRNA from 1 species
CAUGAUAGACAUAAAAGUUGCUAAUGCCGUUAUGUUGCAAAUUUUGUCUUUCAGAGUAUUCAGCUAACUCUUGGUUUGGACUUCGAAGAAAAUAACUUAGAAGUUUUCAUCACGGAUGGAGCGUCCUACUCUAAAAAAGCUUGCGAAGACCUCAGAAGAAGCUACCCCCAACUGAAACAUAUUAUUUGUGUAGCUCAUGGACUCCAUAACGUGGCUGAACUUGCACAUAAAUAAUUCCCAAAGACAAAAGGGCUAAUUUCAGAAAUUAAAAAAAAAAAAAAAUUGAAUGCCAGUCUAAGAAAACAGAACGUUACCGCUUCUUACCAAAUUCCCUUACCUCCAGCACCUAUCAUCACACGCUAGGGAACUUGGUUCAAAGAAAUUGAUUACUAUUUCAAUAACUUCGAAGUAAUCAGGGAAUAUUUAAACAAUCUAAAUGAAAAAACACCUACGGUCGUUGAGGCUAAUGAGAUUAUAAAUGAUGAGUUUAUUUAUGAAGAAUUGUCAAUAAUGAAUCAUAAUCUCAACCCCAUUAACAAGGACAUUACAGUGUUAAAAAGAAAACUCUCUUUACAUGUUCGCUUUACUAUUGUCGUACAUUUACGCAUCGAUAUCAAGCUAGAGCCAUUUAAAACAAAAUUAAAUACUUUUUUAGAUGAAAAUCCAGCGUGCAACGAUUUGCGAGACCUAGCAUACUCUGAGGAUCAAUUUAAAGAAACACUCCUAUUAUAAAUUGUGACAUAGAGAGGAUUUCAGCAUAUUGAGAGCCAUUCAUACAAAAAUAAGAUCCUGUUUAAUAGUAAAAAGUGUCAGGAACGUGCUAAUUAUAAAACAGAAUAUUAGGUUCUUAAGAUAAUAGGGUCAAGAACAACAGCAUAAAUGGUGCCAAAGGGGAUUUUAGCUUCAAAUGGCGAGUAAAUAGUUUGUCCAACAUCAGUUUCUUCGUGUAAAGACUUGGGAUUAGUAUAUAGCUAAAUAUUGAUAAUCUCCGAGAUAAGGUGUUAGAUAACUACAGUAAUAUGGUCAAGAACAACAGCAUGAACGGUGUCAAACGGGGUCUUAGCUUCAAAUGCCGUACAAAUAGUUUGUCUAACAUCACUUUCUUCGGGUUAAGAAUUGGACAUGCUCCAUGGAUUUCAACACGUUGAAGUACAAUUUAUUUAAGUUAAGUAUAAGUCGUUUUAAAUACCGCACAAAUUAAUUUACUUUUUCUUUCCUUAGCUUUACAAAUUAUUUCGAUGACGAAAAAUGAGGAUCCUACAUGGAAUUGGAAGUAUGAUAAGAAAAAGACGGAUUUUAUUUCUGUUCAUAAUAACUGUAUUUUUUUCUUUGUAAAGAUGUCUCAAUAUGUGUGUAUAUUUAUAAUUUACAUUUGUACCUAAUAAUUUGUUGAAUCUAUUCGUAAUGUUUAUUUUAAUAACUUCAAUUUCGUUUUAUUUGUCC